ensembl:lncRNA
UAUUACUCAACAGAUGCUCAUCACAUUGCUUAAUGCUUUAUUUCAUGGUCCAUAUUCAUCAUCCUUUCUGAUUCUUAGACCUAUACCCUGUUCUUUUUGAACAUCUGGUGUUCUCUCUCUUCCAUGUUUUUAGCACACUAAUUCGUUUGGGUGAAGUGUUUUCUUCUUGUAAUGCUCUUAAUCCUCAUGGGUGUUUGGAACAUAGGCGGGAGACUAGAAGUUCUGUGAUUAAACGAACUCGGUCAGACUGUCCUUGCAGAGGAGUUUGUUCUGGAGGAAAGCUGCCUGCCACCUGCCUUCCAAGGAACUGCCAGCUUUACCUGGAGAAAAUAGCCCAUCUGCUAAGUUAUACAGCUCUUUCAUUCUUCAGCCCAGGUUACUGGUGAAGAUUUUAUAUGUACAGCCUUGUUUUUAAUACUUCCAGCUGUUCAUUUUUCCUGUGAAAGGAAAUCCCUGGAUAGAGACACAACAAUCCUGAAGACUAAAUCUGACAUGGUGGGCUGGAUGACUAAAGAGGACAAGUAGCAUUUGCAUAUUUUCAAUCCAGGUGCCUGAUUCAAAUGCUCCACUGAAAGCCAUUGCUCCCGGUGGGUUUUGUAGCAGCCUUCUGGAAAUGGAACUGGGACUUUUGGUGUUAUAGUGUAAUGAUUCUGAAGAUAUUUGGUCAGCCUUCUGAGGUCUGCAGGAGGUAAUCAUUCAAUAACGGUGCUAUCAAUAAUACUUAUGAAAAAUCAAGCUUAAUGGUUGUCGGAUGGUGUUUUAUAACACUAGCAGAUAAAAACAGAAGUGCGUGCUGUGCAGGCUUCUUGAAGAAGGUACUUGAAGAAGGCUUCCAGUAUGGAAGAAGUUGAAAAUGGACAUGAGAGAGAAUAGGAGGAAAUGCAGUAUGGUACUUUCAGAAGUAAUCGGUCAGGAGAUAAUUAUUGCAAACAUAGAUACUUAGUGGGAGGAAACUGCGCAGAAGGCAGAAAUGACUGAAAUGACGUCGAGAUGACAACACAUUUAAAAAUGAGGAAUUGAGGAGUGAGUGACCGGCUGUUUUGCUGAGCUGCUUGCCAGUGCUUAAAGGACUGGCACAGUUACCUCCCAUGAACCUUCUCUUCUAUCAAG